GCGCGCGCAGUCGCGACCAGCCCCGGCCGGAAAGGGCGAGGGAAACCUGGCGGGGGUGUCGAGGCGGGAGUGACUGGGCCGUACAGUACCCCCAAGGACUGGAGGCGAAGCCGGGCCGGGUGAAGGGGCUUCUGACGCUUCGCGGGCCCUGGGUUUUCACUGCGCGUGCGCAAGGUUCUUCCGCUUGCGGGAGACUGGGCCGCUGGCGCCUCUCACUGCCCACUGCUGCGGCCCAGGGCUUGGGCUUGCUUCCCCACGGACCAACAGCCUAGCUGCAAGCCUCUGCUCCUGCCUGCUGGGGCCGGCUGGCUCGCCCUUUCCAUUCCGCUUGCACUCUGAUUCUUGGGGUGUCCCAAGAAGGCCGCGGAUCUCAGUGUUAAGGAGAGACGAGCCGAACACCUGGCACGGUGCUUUCUACCGUUCUCUCCAAUCGUUUUCUGAGUCUGCAUGACUGAGCCUGGCACUGAAGGGAUACUUAUUUUGGGGAAGGAAGAACUCAAAAGUCCAGUUUUUUUCACUGUUGACCCUCAUGUGUCACAUUAGUGGCUUUCAAACUGUUUUGAUCCCAGCCUACGGUGAACAAAAAUAUUUUACAUCAAACUCAAUACCACAUACUUGCUAGAAUGAAUGCAAUGGCCCGAUCUCGGCUCACCGCAACCUCCGCCUCCUGGGUUCAAGCGAUUCUCCUGGGUUCAAGCGAUUCUCCUGGGUUCAAGCGAUUCUCCUGCCUCAGCCUCUCAAGUAGCGGGGAUUGCAGGCAUGCGCCACCAUGCCUGGCUAAUUUUGUAUUUUUAGUACUGACUGGGUUUCUCCAUGUUGGUCAGGCUGGUCUCAAACUCCCCACCUCAGGUGAUCCGCCCGACUCGGCCUCCCAAAGUGUAUUUCUUUCUCUC